AUACGGUUUUGCUCAAUUCCACUUUAUAUAUUUACUCAUGUAAUAUAAUUUCAGAGUAAUUUAAUUAGAUUUGGGUGAGUAUAUUUUAAUAAUUUUCUUUUAUCAGUUAAUUACAAUGUGCCAGAGAAUUUCUAGAUCUUGAAUUUCCAUUUGAUAUAUUUUUCUUAUGAACUUAAUUUCGUUUAAUAUUAUGCAGGUUGUGUGUUAUACAUUUGACCAUUGUAUAAUGAUCUCCUCUGAUAUUGUUACUACUAUAAUUAAUUAUUGAACUAUUUUAAGAAAUUCAUAUGUGUUUUAGGAUAAUCUUAUGUUAUGAUUUAUAUAAUGAUGUGCCUCAGGAGGAAGCAGAAAAGAAGGUUAGUUCCUGUGAUUGAGUCUGAGAAUUAUAUUUUUUAUUUUUAACUGCUUAAAAUGUUGUUGGUAAUAUAGAACUAAAAGUUUAAUUUGAUCAUUUUUCUUUCCAGGCAAUGGCUGAAAAGAUUGAGAGCAUGGAAUUUGAUGUAGAAUCCCGAAACAAGGUAAGUGAUUUUUAUGACAUUCUAUAUGCUACGAUAUGAUUUAUCUUUUAGAGAAUUGAUUGUGUAUAAAAUUUAUUUGCAAUUUAUGGAGCUUCAGGGAAUUCACAAUUUUCAGUUGCAACUAACAGAAGAACUAUGUAAUAAUCUACAGAAAACAGAGGUAUUGAAUUGCACCAUUUGCCAUUUGCGGAGUCCCGUCCCUGAAUGCCCCAUUUCCCAUUCCCUUUUCCCAAUCUACCCAACCCCAUUCAAUUUAUCCCAAACUACCCACCUUUUGCAUAUUCCACAUUAAUUAAAUGGUUAAAUGGACCCCACUUACAAGUUGUGGGGACAAAAGUGAUGAAUCAAAAAACUUGCACACAUACAUUUUACAUAUAGGUACCUAAGUUUUUUAUUUUUAUUAAAUUUAUUCUACUUUUACUUAAUUGAUCAUAAUAAUUAUAAAUUAUUAACUAAUAUUUAUUUGAACAUGUAAAUAAAUGAAGAUCCAAUAUUAAACUUAAUUAUCCAAUAAUUAUAAAUAUUACAUGAUAGCAACUUUUAGGUAAAAUUAAACUUGACAAUUAAAAUACAACAACAUAUUAAUCUUAAAAUUAUUGUCCAUGUUGUGGGCAACGGCGACUGCGUCUUGUGUGACCUUCUUGACCGCAUCUCCCACAAGUUUUAACCUUUUGAGAGUUAUCCAUUUCCGUUCGAAUACGUUGACUUUGACCUCUCUGUCCAUGUUUCUUCCUCUUCUUUCUCAGAUUUUCGUCAGCAAUAAGAGUACCAUACAUCUCCCAGUUGUAUGCUAGUGGAAACGUCCAAUACGCUUGAUUUGCCAUUGGAUGAAAUUCGUACUUCCACAUUUCAUACAAUAUUGUCAGGUUGUGAUAACCUUCGAUGUAUUGCUUCCAAUCGAGAUUACAUACCAAACAAGCAGCAACUAUAACAUGGAGUGUAAUACCGACCCCAUUUUCCACAAGAACAGAAACCUUGAAACAAAUUUAGUGUAUGUUUGUUUCCACCUUUCCAAUAUCCAUUCGUUGUUCGAUAACGUGCAGUGAUAACCUCAAAGUCCCCUCUUUGUUCAUUAUAUGGGACAACCUUGUGGGCUGAAGCCUUCUCUUCUAUUUUUUCAAACAGCUCCCUCGAUUUUUUACAAUAUGUAUGGCUAUUCUGUAGGUCAUUCAAUAUUUCAGUGCGCCUUUCUGCAACCAACUUCAAUGAACGAUAAUAGAUAUACUCAAUCAUUGACGUGACCGGAAGAAAACGAGCUGAUCUUAAGAGUCCGUUGAAACUUUCAAUCAUAUUUGUAGUCGCCUGACCAUAGCGAUAUCCUCCAUCGUGAGACAUAGUCCACAUCUCCAAUGGAAUAUUUCGUAACCAUUUCUCAGCAUCAGGAUUAAGCUCUUUUAUCUUGUUCAUAGCUGCUUCAAAUUUUCUCAAUUGAGAAGUGUUUCCAGCCAACCAACAUAGCAUCUUCAAAUGAGAACCAGGAAAAUGUGAACUAAAAUUGCUACGAACAUGUAAAAGACAAAAUCUGUGUAAACCCAUAUCACCAGUGAAUCAACUUUGUUCCAUUUUCAUUGCUUCAAUAAUUCCAGCAUGACGAUCUGAAAUUAUGCAUGUACCUUUUCUGUUUUGACACACAUAUAUUCGAAGGUGGUAUAAGAACCAAGACCAGUUGAUUGUCGUUUCUUCAUUAACUAGAGCAUAAGCAAGUGGGUACUGUUGAUUAUUUGAAUCAAAUCCCAUAGCAAUCAACAACUUUCCAUUGUAUCUUCCUUUUAAAAAUGUACCAUCAAUGCUUAUAACUGGUCGAGCAUGUUGUCACCCAUCUAUCAUGGGUUUAAAUGCCCACCACACACGCUUACACACUGAUGUGUUAUGAUUUAGAACAUCAGCUUCAAUUAAUGUAACCGUACCUGGAUUAUAAUGCAUCAAAGCACUAAAAAAUCUAGGAAGUUUAGAAUAAGAAGUUGUCCAAUCUCCAUACACAUCUGAUAUUGCCUUUUGCUUGCCAAUCCAUGCCUUCUUGUAACUAACAUGAUAUUGGUACAUAGAUGUGAUUUGAUUCAUGAUAUUAUGGGUAUGGACUCUCCGUGAUAUAAAAUAAAUUUUUUUUGAGAUAAUUAGUAGCAAUCCAAGAGGUGUGUGUGUGUGUGUGUUAAAUAUGACUAUGAAAGAAUGAAUUUUUGUUCUUACUUGCUGUUUUAUAACACUAGCGAUUAAGCUUGAGCUCAGGUUCUUAUGAUCUCGUUGAAGUGUUCUCAAAAGACAAGUAUGUUCGGCAGGCAGUUUUGUUAUUUCAAAAUAACAACUUGCCUUUCGUUUUAUAACGCGAAUUUUCCAUUGACAUUCGUCGACGACACAUUUCGCCUCAUAUCGUGUUGUAUCGCUCUUAGAAACACGAUAGUUUCUAGAAUUUCUUAUAUGACUCGUUUGUAUUGCAUUUAUAGCAGUUUGCUUAUCUACAAAACAUUGACCAACAAACAAGUCAUCAGUAAGAGGGUUUAAGUUAGAAGAAGCACCUGAACUAUUAGCAAACUUGUUAGAAGUGGUUUCUUCUGUAAACCAUGGUGCAGUAGGCACAUAUUCUUCCUCUUCUUCAUCAUUAUCAGUAUCUGUCGAAUCAGAAUCACCAUCAUCGUCAAUAUCCUCAUAAUCUGUUUCAAUUUAUGAAUCAUGUAAAGGACUAAAUUCAUCGUCUCUACUCAAAUUAUAGAUAAGAUUCGAUCUCAUUAUAUCAUCAUUGAUAGAAUUCUCCAUCUGCAAUAUAGUAAGAUAAUUAGUAAUAACACACUAAAAUAUAUGAAUUCAAAAAAUGCUAAGAAAAACAAACCUGAUCAGCUUGGUAUAUUUCACCUCAUAUUGCAAAAUUUAGCAAAUUUGACAAGACAUAAAGUGUGAAUAGUUGAAUUGAUAAAUGAGCCAAACAGUUGAAUUGACAAUUCAGUAUUAAAAUUUGAGUAGACAAUGCACUGCAAAGUUAGACAUUAUUUUCAAAAAGUUAGAUAGUAUACAGUAUGUAUUAUUUUGUAAAUAGUUGAUUUGAUAACUCAGAAAAAGUAUUUAAAUUAUUUACUUUAUUAAUUUAUAAAUAUAAAUUGGUCAUAUUGUAAUUAUUUAUAAAGUAUUUAUUAAUAUAUAAUUUAUAAUACUUCUAAUGAUAUAAAUAUAUAAAAAUUGAAACAUAAAUUAGAAAAUAUAUAUAAAAAAUGAAAUGAUUGAAAUUGUUAUGAUAUUUAACAUAUUAUGAGGUUUAAAAAAAAAUGAAAACCCACCAAUUUGGUGGCUCUAAACCAGCGGAUAAAACAAAAACAAUGCAGGGUGUUAAUAAAUAGCCAAAGGAAUUAUCCAUACUUUAUAUAUCAAAACUUACGGGUCCAAAUGAAAUUAAAAUUGUUAAACCACAGUGGCUUAGUUGCAUUUUUGUGCGAACUUAUGUGUACAGCGCAACAUGUUUAAUAUAAAGAAUAGGUUGUGGGCCAGGUUUUCUACACAUUUCCAAGCGUACAGUGCAAAAGAUGGGUAGUUAAGGAAAGAUUGAAUGAAUGUGGGUAGACUGGGAAACGUGAACAACAACAUGGGUACUGCGGGAAAGGAUUCGCCAUUUGCGAAUGCCCUGUUGCUAUUUGGUCAAUCAAGUUAUUAGUAUUCAGUUGGGCAUGUUCUUCAUGCUUUUGUCAAUGGUAAUCUUGAAGGUGAUCGCAGUAAACUUUUCUUCUAGAUGAUUUUUGGGUUCUGUUUUCCAUAUCUAUUGAUGCCUUGGCACUUAAAACUGCCUAUCUAAUUUAGUAUUCCUUCUAAUCCUUCCAUAAAUCAUGUACUUAAUCCCAGUCCAAGAUUUGUACUGUAGUACCAAUAGGUUAUCUAUUUACAAAAAUAAAAAAAGGCUAUAUUUUCCAUGUUUCAGAUUCAAAAUUUUUAGCUGUCUAAUUAGUCUCCCAGAACUUCUCUCCAAUGUACUUACAUUUGUAUAUACAUUAUGGCUUUAUGUAGGGAGUGCAAUAGGAAGUAAUGGUCAUACUAAAGUUUCCCUUGAUGUUCCCUUGAUAUGGUUGGUGUUGACCCUUCAAUUGUUAAUGUCUUCCAUAGAAUUCUUAUAGCUAAGGUAAGCCAUUUUUUGAUUAUAAUUUUUUUGUAUAUAUUGGAUUUGGUUGGUCUAUAUAAGGGUCAUUUUUCCAUGCUGAUUAGUUAGGUUUUAGUAUUAUUCAUUUGUCGAUUGUAUUAGCUACUUCACACAGCGGAUUUGGUAAAUUAACAGUGAGGCUUGACCUCUCCUUACUGAACAACUUAUCCAAAACUACUUGGCUUUAUAAGGUGUCACAUAUAUAAACCAUUUGGGUGGACCUUAAACUAUAAAAAAUACAUGAAAAAUAGGAAUAACAAUGUCAGGUAGUGUGAGCAGGUCAAGGAAUAACCGGGAUAGAAGGAAAGCAACUUCUACCGGGGCUGCUGGCUGUAUCUUAGAAUAUGAUGGUCUGAAACAUGGGAAAUUUUCCAAGUAAUUAUAGAAGAACUUUACAAAGUUUAAACUAUGAUUGAAGGCGUUACUGAUUUCAUUGUUUCUAUAUGCAGCUUCCUGCCAUGGCUAUUGAACAGGUCCUAAUUGUGAACAGUUCGUGUCUUACUGUGUUUAAUAAGUUUAAUUUGUUCAUAGAUAGUUAUAACUUGAAUUGAAGAAGGCCGAGUUUCACGUGGAAGAUUUCACCUCAUUGCAAGUUACGUGGGACACAUCCCAUCCGGCUAUGAUAUUAGAAAAAGUGGUGAGUCUCUCCUCCGGAUUUACCCUCUACCCCACACCCCUGUUUCCAUGACCCAAACACACAUGCACAUUCUUUUGUAAGUCCAUAUGUGAAGUCGUGUCUUUAAUUUUGCAUGUACAACGAAUGAUUUAACGAAUAAAGCUCAAGGGAAAUUCCAAAGCCGCUGGUUUGGUGGUUGGACACAUAAGGUUACUGUUGCACUUUUUGCGCCACUGCUUGGUUAGACAUUCUUGAGGAGAUGCUGAGUGGUGAUGGUAUCUUGAACAAAGAUUUGAAACUGAAACGGCAAACAAUUAAUUCCACAAUAAAUUGACGACAAUAAUACAUUUUUUAAUUGAAAAUCAUUGUUUACUUUAAUUAAUGUU
rnacentral:lncRNA from 1 species